rnacentral:rRNA from 1 species
AACGAACGCUGGCGGCAGGCUUAACACAUGCAAGUCGAGCGCCCCGCAAGGGGAGCGGCAGACGGGUGAGUAACGCGUGGGAACGUACCCUUUACUACGGAAUAGCUCCGGGAAACUGGAAUUAAUACCGUAUGUGCCCUUCGGGGGAAAGAUUUAUCGGUAAAGGAUCGGCCCGCGUUGGAUUAGCUAGUUGGUGGGGUAAAGGCCUACCAAGGCGACGAUCCAUAGCUGGUCUGAGAGGAUGAUCAGCCACAUUGGGACUGAGACACGGCCCAAACUCCUACGGGAGGCAGCAGUGGGGAAUAUUGGACAAUGGGCGCAAGCCUGAUCCAGCAAUGCCGCGUGAGUGAUGAAGGCCUUCGGGUCGUAAAGCUCUUUUACCAGGGAUGAUAAUGACAGUACCUGGAGAAUAAGCUCCGGCUAACUCCGUGCCAGCAGCCGCGGUAACAC